rnacentral:rRNA from 1 species
AACGAACGCUGGCGGCAGGCCUUAUACAUGCAAGUCGAGCGCAUCCUUCGGGAUGAGCGGCGGACGGGUGAGUAACGCGUGGGAAUGUGCCCUUCUCUACGGAAUAGCCACUGGAAACGGUGAGUAAUACCGUAUACGCCCUUAGGGGGAAAGAUUUAUCGGAGAAGGAUCAGCCCGCGUUAGAUUAGGUAGUUGGUGGGGUAACGGCCUACCAAGCCUACGAUCUAUAGCUGGGUUUAGAGGAUGAUCAGCCACACUGGGACUGAGACACGGCCCAGACUCCUACGGGAGGCAGCAGUAGGGAAUCUUGGACAAUGGGGGAAACCCUGAUCCAGCCAUGCCGCGUGAGUGAAGAAGGCCUUAGGGUCGUAAAGCUCUUUCGCCUGUGAUGAUAAUGACAGUAGCAGGUAAAGAAACCCCGGCUAACUCCGUGCCAGCAGCCGCGGUAAUACGGAGGGGGUUAGCGUUGUUCGGAAUUACUGGGCGUAAAGCGCGCGUAGGCGGAUUGGAAAGUUGGGGGUGAAAUCCCGGGGCUCAACCCCGGAACUGCCUCCAAAACUGCCAGUCUAGAGUUCGAGAGAGGUGAGUGGAACUCCAAGUGCAGAGGUGAAAUUCGUAGAUAUUUGGAAGAACACCAGUGGCGAAGGCGGCUCACUGGCUCGAUACUGACGCUGAGGUGCGAAAGUGUGGGGAGCAAACAGGAUUAGAUACCCUGGUAGUCCACACCGUAAACGAUGAAUGCCAGUCGUCGGGUAGUAUACUAUUCGGUGACACACCUAACGGAUUAAGCAUUCCGCCUGGGGAGUACGGUCGCAAGAUUA